GGGCUUUUAGAUUUAACUUUUUCAGCUGUUAAAUUAAAAAAAUAUAAAUGUUUUCGACGUGAAUUAGAGCUUCUAGACAUAGAAGCUUUUGGAGUCUUAUUACUUCUUGAAAAAAAAAAUCAAAACUAAAGCAAAAGCUUAAAAAAAAAAAAAGAAAGAGAAGAGGAAUGGGGAAGGAUAAGAAAGAGGGGGAGGCGACGUAUGAGGGAAGGAACUACCGAUCGACGUAGACGGAAUCUGCAAUGGGUGCUGAAGGACCAAUUGGAAAGGCAGCGUGAAAGGGAGAGGUUGAGAGAGGGAGAACAAAGAAAAAAAGUCGCCAAUGGACAAAUAGUAACGGCAAUGGUUUCUAUUUAAGACCAAACCCAAAAAGGGAUUAUUUGUUGAUCGAACAAUUAGCUUGAUUGUUUUUAGAUCGAACAACUGGGGGAUCUAAUCAAACAAAAAUUGUAGUGGGUUGUUCAUCAGAUACAACUUGAAAUGUUCAAAUACAUAAUCGCUUUGGAUUAGAACAAAGGGGAUUAGUUCCUGCUUCAAAUGUUGUGGAGUCACAGGAACAAAUACACCUAUAGCAGCUUAGCUAAUCUUACCUUUUGCACUUAUAGGCACUGGUGAUCUAUAGAAAAUUGCUGGCAAGGUUGGAGUGCUUACGAGACACGUUCCAGAUAAAAGAAGGAGAUUUUCUUGCUUUUAAUGCCUUGGUAUGAUUCUACAUCCAUUUUUGUACUGAAGGAAACUUGCAUUUUCUUGACCAUGCUGUUAUGAAGUGUGACAACCAUUUCUUAACCAUGUGACUUUGUUAAACCGAGGCAAGUUGCUUAAUGUGUGGGCCGAGAUAUCCGUUCAAAGGUUGACUAUGGGAUGAUAAUAUUUGCUGAUAAAAGUUAAAUAUCUCUUUACUCUUUUUUUAGUAUUUUAAGACUAGGAGUUCUGUCCUUGAGCUAGAAGCAUUCUUUUCAAUUAGCUGCAAAUCAUUUGAACCUAUAAUUUAUAUUGUCGGCCUUAAUUUUGUGGUUGUAGAUUUUUCUGCCCCUUUGCCCGCCUAAGGUUUGUAAUUAUGAAAGUAUUGUUAAAGUUGUUAACAGAAUAAACGCCCACGCCCUAUGUUUGAAAAUUAAACAUGUGUAUGCACUUAUACAGCUUAUUAAAUCCUGGUUCAAAUACGUAUACACUUAUACACCAGUCAAAUGAACCUUUUGUUUUGACUUUUCUAAAGGAAAAUUGUUAAAAGGAGGAGGAAAGAGGUAGCAUGAGGGAUUGGGUCUAUGCAUUCUGUGUAAUCCAACGAGAAAAGAAGUAAAAUUUAGAAUGGAUUCUGAUUAGAUAGGUCUUAAUGGUAAAAGAGGAAAACAUGCAAAUGUAAUAGGCCUUAUAUACUGAAAGAUUAUCUCUUUUCAGUCACCUACCUUUUGGGUAUUUGAAUGUUGUGAGUUUGCAUGUAGAAAUAUUGUCUUGCAUCUUAGCAAGAAGAUGGCCAUAAAACAGGUGCAAUAGAGAAAGGUCAUAUAGUUAAUCAUGGGUUGUUUAGGAUUAAAAUUUGGGUUGAAAUAAGUAUGAGAGUGAUGCACUUUUGCAUGAGUUAUAUAGUAGCCCAUUCUUUUAAUAAUUUAUAACCAGCAGGAACUUUACAGAAGGGCAAUAAAGUUUCUCAAAGCUCUAUCAUUGGACUCUGAAGGAUUGAAAUAUUAAAACAUUUUUCUUGUCAUAUGUUUAAGCAAUUGAAUAACUAUUUCUCCUUUUAAUUGCUUAGGUGCAAAUACAAAACUUAGUAUAACGGAUAUUUCAACCCUGGCAAGAGGUACGGUCAAAUGCUUCACAUCUUUUUUUGUAUUUUAAAUAUUUAGUUAACAACUAAUAUAGAUUGUGCAUGUUAAUAAGCUGACAAAAUUCUAAAUAUAUCUUUUGAACUUUCAACUUAACUGUUUAAUGUGAGAACAUAUAUGGACUCCUUUUAUUAUAAUGUUAUUUUUACUUUAAUUAUCAUUAAUAUGUUACGCGAUAAAUGCUGCA